rnacentral:tRNA from 2 species
GGAUUAGUUCAGUGGUAGAACGUCGGUCUCCAAAACCGGAUGUCAGGGGUUCAAGUCCUCUAUC